rnacentral:rRNA from 1 species
UACAUGGGGUGCAAACGUUGCUCGGAAUUAUUGGGCGUAAAGCGCACGUAGGCGGUUCGUUAAGUCGGAUGUGAAAGCCCUCGGCUCAACUGAGGAAGUGCACCCGAAACUGGCGAGCUUGAGUACGAAAGAGGAUCGCGGAAUUCCUGGUGUAGCGGUGAAAUGCGUUGAUAUCAGGAGGAACACCCAUGGCGAAGGCAGCUAACUGGGCAUUAUCUGACGCUGAGGCGACGAAAGCGUGGGUAGCAAACAGG